rnacentral:lncRNA from 1 species
AGCCAAAUAUGAUAAAUUACAAAAUACAAAUGACGAAUACAUUAAUUUAAGCAAUUACAAUUUAAAAACUUAACAAUAUUCAAUAAAAUUAAACUACAUAAUAUUUUGACGAGAACUACAAAAAAAUUAUAACUCUAACUAACUACACACUUAAUUUAAGCAAUUACAAUUUUUUUGAGCUCCUGAUAGCAACUUUUCAACGGUCCCAACUUUAUAUGAGCAAGUGCUUCAUUUAUUCCUGUUAAGAUAAUAGAAACAUAAUGUUAUUCAAGUACACUAUACAAAAAAUAAUCCAAAUCUAAUGUAAUCAUAUAGAGAGCCGUAGAAAAUUUGGAAUCAAAUAUAAUUAUACUUAAUACAAGAAAAUUCUUUUUAAAGGCAUAUGCAAGAAAAUUCUUAAAGUUAUUGCCAUGUCAUGUGUAUAAAAUAUAUUCCUACAAGAAACUGUAACAUAAAACAUAUAAUUGAGUAAAACAAUAUAUGCUAGAACACUAAUUAUGUUAUAGUUUGAUGAGAUAAUUAGAAAAAGGAAGAAUAAUUCCACAAAUUACAACAUCUCAAUAUGUAUGUUUUAAUAAAGGAAAGGGGGUUAAUGGUAGUCCAGACAUACCACAUAUUAGAUGCAAAUGAGCAUACGAUUGCGAACAACUAAGCAUAUAAACGUAAUUUGAAACAAAAAAAAGAGAGGCAAGCAUAACAAUGUACUAUUGAAGAAUGCUAACGAUACUAAUCAUACAAUUAAAACCUGAUUUAGGCUCUUCGACAACCUGCUCAAUCUGCUACACACAUAUACUACCCCACCACCUGUUUGCCAAAAUUUCAAAGAGUAAUUCAAAAAAAAAUUCAGACAAUAUCCAACAACAUAGAUAGAAAAUUAAAGAUUAAAGAAUUAUAGGUAAAAGCCAAAAGAACUACUAUCCCAAAAUUUGAUUUACCCCAACACGUGGCAGCCACCAUUAUACACAGAUUGAGAAAAAUCAAACCAUCAAUCCUAUGCUUGCACCUUCAUAGACCAAGUCUAUGUUCCUCUCAACCUGUAUAUCAUUAAUAACUUCAUUGAAAUAAAUAGAUACAGAUAGAUGGUAAUAGAUAAUAAUUCGGGCGCAACGAUUUUCCUAUUCUUUCUAGGCCUUCCCCUUUUUCUUUUCUCCGUUGUGGUUGCUGCUACAAUAGGUGUUGGAGGAGGGGCUGCGUUGAGAGUCGGAGUCGCAGUUGGGGUCGCGACGACGCCCUUAAAAUUUGAACAUCAGAGAAAAAUUAGAAAUUGAUAAAAUCGGAGAGGACGAGUAGUGGGGAUUCUAAUGGAGGAGAGGAAUUGGCAAUCUAAACUCCACUAAGAUUGUGGAUAAACUGCCGAGUUUCGUAGAUAGGUUUUUU